rnacentral:misc_RNA from 1 species
GAUGAAGAACGUAGCGAAAUGCGAUAAGUAAUGCGAAUUGCAGAAUUUCCGUGAGUCAUCGAAUCUUUGAACGCACAUUGCGCCCACUGGUAUUCCGGUGGGCAUGCCUGUUCGAGCGUCAUUUCAACCAUCAAGCCCCGGGCUUGUGUUGGGGACCUGCGUCCGACGCAGGCCCUGAAAACCAGUGGCGGGCUCGCUGUCCACACCGAGCGUAGUAACUAACCUCGCUAUGGAGUGGCGCGGGCGCCUGCCGUAAAACCCCCAAUUUCACAAGGUUGACCUCGGAUCAGGUAGGAAUACCCGCUGAACUUAAGCAUAUCAAUAAGCGGAGGA